rnacentral:rRNA from 1 species
GACGAACGCUGGCGGCGUGCCUAAUACAUGCAAGUAGAACGCUGAAGGAGGAGCUUGCUUCUCUGGAUGAGUUGCGAACGGGUGAGUAACGCGUAGGUAACCUGCCUGGUAGCGGGGGAUAACUAUUGGAAACGAUAGCUAAUACCGCAUAAGAGUAGAUGUUGCAUGACAUUUGCUUAAAAGGUGCAAUUGCAUCACUACCAGAUGGACCUGCGUUGUAUUAGCUAGUUGGUGGGGUAACGGCUUACCAAGGCGACGAUACAUAGCCGACCUGAGAGGGUGAUCGGCCACACUGGGACUGAGACACGGCCCAGACUCCUACGGGAGGCAGCAGUAGGGAAUCUUCGGCAAUGGACGGAAGUCUGACCGAGCAACGCCGCGUGAGUGAAGAAGGUUUUCGGAUCGUAAAGCUCUGUUGUAAGAGAAGAACGAGUGUGAGAGUGGAAAGUUCACACUGUGACGGUAUCUUACCGGAAAGGGACGGCUAACUACGUG